rnacentral:rRNA from 1 species
UACGUAGGGGCCUAGCGUUGUCCGGAUUUAUUGGGUUUAAAGGGUGCGCAGGCGGAUAUGUAAGUCAGUGGUGAAAUCUCUAGGCUUAACCUGGAAAUUGCCGUUGAUACUAUAUAUCUUGAAUGCUGUGGAGGUAAGCGGAAUAUGUCAUGUAGCGGUGAAAUGCUUAGAUAUGACAUAGAACACCUAUUGCGAAGGCAGCUUACUACGCAGAUAUUGACGCUCAUGCACGAAAGCGUGGGGAUCAAACAGG